GCGCACACACACACAUAUAUAAUCGGAUCAGUAAUCUUCAAAUCCACAUCCAUAACGCAACCACUCACGCCUUUAACAAUUUUCACAUACUCAAACGCUCAAAACAUGUUAUUAUAAUUUCUUUUUCUGAACAAUUCAUUAGACAAGAAUAAAAAUAAGGCGUGUAUGACCAAAGCUAAAACUAAUACCCUAGAACGGAUUAAUAUCCAACUUCAAAGGGCAUCAGUUUGUCACAAUCGCAGAUCAUUCUCUGGUUAUGAACAAAAGGAACGUUCCAGAGAAAGCUGUAUGCGUACCUUCCAUUGAGGAUAAUAUUUGAAAUGUGAUUGUCCCUCUGUACAGGCUGAGGAAGCUUCAUCAUCUAUGUAAACUUUUUCAGCGGUCCAUGAGGAAUAACUCUUCUUCAUUAACCAAGUUGUCAUUGUAAACUUGUAACAUUUCACAUACCUCACCUGAGAGAAAGAAGGUUGAAAUUAGGACCGAUACAUUACCUUUUGCAAAUUUAAGUGAAAUUAAAUCGAGGGAAGAUGAAGAAUUCUUAAAUGUUCUCUAGGACUUGCAAUAGAUUAUUGGAAAAUCAAUUACUUCAGUUGAGCAUAUGGACUGCUCAGGUCAACUUCAUCUUGCUCACAAGGUCAAUCCUUUUAAAUAUAAAUAUUAAUUAGGUAAGUAACUGAAUAUAUGAUUCUUUCACACCUAUGCUUAAGUCUUGAUGCAAAUUCCCUUCCAUAGAACAGGUUCGUUAUACAUCAUUAAACUUACUCUUGUUUAGACACUAGCUUUUCCUUGCAAAUACUCUCACUCAUUUCCUAGCCUUGAUUUACAAUUCCAUAGUUUCUCAAACUGAGAAAACCAUAUGAUGAUUAAGAGAAAGAAGUUCAUGGAUGCAAAAAAAUUAAAUAUCUUCACCCAAGUCUUUGAGAUUUACAGUACCUCAAUAAUAAUAAAUACUAAUAAAGGGAAUGUAUUAUUUCUUGUAGGUUGCACAAAUAGUACGACCUCAGAUUGAAAAACCAGAAUGGUUCGAAAAUUUCCUACAACGGACUUUCUUCGAUCGUUGUAUAGCUCAUGAGCGCAGCAAGAACAGAUGCAACCAUUAUUGCAUCACUUGUGACACAUCAGCAUGUCAAUACUGCAUAUCGUCGGGCUUGCAUGGUGAACAUGAUAUAAUACAACUUUAUAGACAUCUCCAUCAAAAUGCUGUUCGCAUCACUGACAUGCAGAAAUAUUUCAGUUGUUCCAUGAUCCAGGUAAUUGAUUUUUAGGUUAAAAGACAUCAUUAUUUGAGGUUUUUCUGAACUUAUUUACUGCUCUUCAUUUUUUUAGUAUAUGAGUAGCUUCAGAUUAUGAAAAAUAUGAUAAUUUCAAAUAGAUUUUACAAGUUGAGUGCUUGUACACCUUGUCUAAAAACAAAAAAUAGACCUACCAAAAUUAUGCCAUUUCUAUUCUUUUAAUAGAUUUUAAAAGAAAGGAAAGAAAGAAACUCUUUCUGAAAGAACUCUAAAUAAGAAAGUAACUUACGAAAUUACAUAUUUAUCUGAAAAAGGUUUUCGAGACUCCCUGUUGUAAAAUGCCAAAUUACCUCACUCCAGCCCAACGCUUCCCUCACCAACCCCUGCUCCCCCGCUUUCCCCAGGCCACACCAAAAAAAGAGAAAGAAAUUAGAUCACAAUCCCAGAUAGGAUCUUAUCACCUAGACCUACUGCAGUCUGCAUACAACUGAUGUAGGAUUUUACCGCUUCCUUGCAUCCAUUUAAUUCAAUAUUUCCUCCACAAAUUAUCCAUAACAUUAUGUACGAAGGUUGAAAAAGAACUAUCCCAGAUAAUGCAGCUCCUUUAUUUGGUAGAUGGUUUCAGCUCCUAGACUGACUUAGUGACAUAUAGUAACAUGAAAUAUUAUCUAGUCAUUUCCUCAAGCUCCAAACUCGAUCAAUCGUCUUCUGAAUCUCAAUAGAUUCUUUUUCAUAAACUUCCACCAAAAUCCUCAAUCAUCUGAACCGAUCAUUUAAUCUUUUCCGGCUCAGAACUACCUGGACAUGGGCUUGGAGAUAGCAUGCGAGUGGUAAAGAUAGACAAUGGAAAUGUACCUGAAACAAUAUGGUCUACGAGAAAUCUCAGGUAAAAUAAGGUUUGAUGAUCUUAAAGGACUCUUAUGCGAAUUGUAAAAAUAGAAAAAGGACUAUAUGAGUACCGACUCUGUGAAACAAAUAUUUUAGGGUAAAAUGUAAUUUGGCCACCUGUGAUUUACACAUUUUUGUAAAUCAUCACCUGUGGUUAAAAAACCACCACUUAGCCACCUGUGGCUUAAAAAAAUUGCAAAGUCUCACUUUAGUGUUAACACCAUUAAAAGAAUGUGUUAAAGUACUAAAUGCCCUUCUUAACUCUUACUUUGCAUAUAACCACCUCAUUUGUUAUUUAUCUUGUUUUUUUCUCUCAAUUUUCACUAACUAGCUUCUAAAAUCAAACUAAGAAAAUCUUCUAUCAUCUCAGUCAAUCUUAAUUCAUUUGUAAUACAAAUCAACAUAAAUAAUAUUUAAUCUUUAAUGAUUCAUUACUAUAGUUAUUUUUUUACUAAAAUAUGAUCCCCAUCUUAAUUAAAGACAAUAUAUAUAUAUGUGUGUGUGUGUGUGUAUUACAUGUAUAUAUAGUAGGAGAUUCUUUUUCCUACGCGUUCGUAACUUCUCUCUCUACGACUCGGCUAUUAAUUUCAUGACUAAAUCUAAGCAUAUGAGGCUGCACACCUCUUGCAAAAACUACUAAAAACAAGGUUUUAUAGCUUCAUGUUUAACUUGCUACAACUUGAUUCAAUUAGUUGUCCAAGGCAUUACUUAGUUUAUCAUGCUUUAUGACUUACCAACUCUAACAUAUAUAAUCAUAACCCUAACAUGCAUACGUUCAUAAGUUCUAUCAUAAAAAAUUAUGAACGAACUAACAUACGAAAUAAACGAAUUCUAGGUUUACCUCUUGAAGUGUUAAGCUUUAUGAAUUCUUGAAUAACCAAGCCUCUUGAUUUCCCUCUCUCAAUUAUAAUUGUUCUUACUAUGGUAUUCUCUCACAAGCUUCUUA
rnacentral:lncRNA from 1 species